rnacentral:rRNA from 1 species
AUUGAACGCUGGCGGAAUGCCUUACACAUGCAAGUCGAACGGCAGCACGGGGGCAACCCUGGUGGCGAGUGGCGAACGGGUGAGUAAUACAUCGGAACGUGCCCGGUCGUGGGGGAUAACGUAGCGAAAGUUACGCUAAUACCGCAUACGAUCUGAGGAUGAAAGCGGGGGACCUUCGGGCCUCGCGCGAUCGGAGCGGCCGAUGUCAGAUUAGGUAGUUGGUGGGGUAAAGGCCUACCAAGCCGACGAUCUGUAGCUGGUCUGAGAGGACGACCAGCCACACUGGGACUGAGACACGGCCCAGACUCCUACGGGAGGCAGCAGUGGGGAAUUUUGGACAAUGGGCGCAAGCCUGAUCCAGCCAUUCCGCGUGCAGGACGAAGGCCUUCGGGUUGUAAACUGCUUUUGUAUGGAACGAAAAGGCUCUGGCUAAUACCUGGGGCUCAUGACGGUACCGUAAGAAUAAGCACCGGCUAACUACGUG